rnacentral:rRNA from 1 species
GGAAACAGGUUAAUAUUCCUGUACUUGGUGUUACUGCGAAGGGGGGACGGAGAAGGCUAUGUCAGCCGGGCGACGGUUGUCCCGGUUUAAGCAUGUAGGCGGAGGUUCCAGGUAAAUCCGGUACCUUAUUAACGCUGAGGUGUGAUGACGAGGCACUACGGUGCUGAAGUGAUAAAUGCCCUGCUUCCAGGAAAAGCCUCUAAGCAUCAGGUAACACGAAAUCGUACCCCAAACCGACACAGGUGGUCAGGUAGA